GCACGCACGGGCCGGGCGGGCCCGGAGACUUAUUUGGCGCCCAGCGCGGAAGCGAACGGUGUGGGGCGAGAGAUUUACCGCAACACUGCUGCCCUUCUUUGUCAUCAGCACUCAGCUUCUUCAGCCUUCCAACCUGAACUGAAGACCAGUGACUCUCCCAAGAAUCCUCUGGAACUUCAGCACCACAUUGGGACUACGGAGGCACCCAGCUGGAUAGAUGGAACCCCUACCAGUCUUCUGUUUCUCUGGUAUUAAGACAGUCAUUGUUGGAUUUCCUAAACCAUAUCCCACAUGUCGAUCUAAUAAGUUCGUUUUCCUAUUUUCAUCCUAUUGGUGCUAUUCUUCUAUACAUACUAAAUAAAUGAACACAUUUGAUGCUUUA